CCGAAUUCCGAAAUGAAAUGGUGGUUUUAAAUAGCCAACAGUAAUGCAUGAUUUUAUAACUCUUGCAAUUUAUCCACGUGAACGCAGGGUGCACAAGUUUGAAUGAAACAAUGAACAACAACAGGAUGCUGUCAUUUACGCUUCAAUCGGUUUUCUCAUAAAAAUGGAAAUGUUUUCAGCUGCUUUAAUUACAGUUGACUAUGCAGUAGUUAAGUUAGCUUAAACAGAUGACCAAGACAACAUGGGAAGUCACUAGUCCAAAGGAUCAAAGUCAUUGACAAACAACGCUGGAUUACUUGCUGCAAGUUUCAAGUUCAUAAAAUCGAUUUUCAUCUAAGGAAAAGAAGAUAGAGUAUGUAAUUCUUGUAAGAGAUUUAGCCGCAGAAGACAUUGUUAACCAUGGUGAACAGACAGGCGGAUGGCCAUGAAAAGGUAGACUGAAGRUGCUUUGAACCAAUUAUGAGGCAGUCUCUUUGUCCAGACCAUUCCAGUCUAGAAAUUCGCUCCUAAUCGCACCAUCUUCUUACCAAUAAAUUUAUGCAUGUAAAAUUCACUGUAAUAAAAGUAAUGAUAGAACUCUUUAUUCAAUCGCUUGAAAAAAGAAAUAAUGCGCAUGCGUGUCCAAUGUAAAUGAAUACAUAAAUUGAAAGCUAUGGUUACUAAAAAUGAGUCUAUUAGCAAAACURUUCGUUAAACGAAAUGCAUGGAGCACUCAGAAUUCUUUAAUAA